rnacentral:rRNA from 1 species
GACGAACGCUGGCGGCGUGCCUAAUACAUGCAAGUAGAACGCAGUUGCGAACGGGUGAGUAACGCGUAGGUAACUGCCUGGUAGCGGGGGAUAACUAUUGGAAACGAUAGCUAAUACCGCAUACUACCAGAUGGACCUGCGUUGUAUUAGCUAGUUGGUGGGGUAACGGCUCACCAAGGCAACGACACAUAGCCGACCUGAGAGGGUUGACGGGCAAACUGGGACUGGGAACCGGGCCAGACUCCUACGGGGGGCAGCAGUAGGGAAUCUUCGGAAAUGGACGGAAGUCUGGACGAGCAAAGGCGCGUUAGUGAAGAAGGUUUUCGGAUCGUAAAGCUCUGUUGUAAGAGAAGCGGUAUCUUAACAGAAAGGGACGGCUAACUACGUGCCAGCAGCCGCGGUAAUAC